rnacentral:lncRNA from 1 species
AAAAUUCUCACUUCAAUAAUUCACAAAUCUCUCUUUCUCUCUCACUUCAUUCAGUUACAAAGCGGUUACUAAAUUUCUUCUUCAUUCUUCAUCUAGAUCUCUUCAACAAUGGUGAGCAGAGAUAUCUUCAACAAUGGAUAUCAAGUUUGUCCUCCAAAAUUUUAUUAUCAAGUAAAUGAUCAGCAAUUAAUUUUCCAAAGGACUAGUGUGGUUGACAUUUUACACUUGUGGUACUUAUUUGAUAGCUAUUUUUCUGUGAAUUACUUGGUAUCCAUUAUUACAUAUUUGGAGGAUUAAUUUAGUUUUGAUGUGCGAAUGAUUUUGCUUGUAUCACAUCUUGUUAUUAUAAGCGGUACUUAUCCUUCACCAACUUAAAUUAAGUCAGAAAUGUGUGGUUUAUUUGGCUUUUGUUCAAUCGUGAUGUUGUUAAGGUUCAAUCAGUCAAUAGCUAGGUCAC